UACGUAGGGGGCAAGCGUUGUCCGGAUUUAUUGGGCGUAAAGGGCGCGUAGGCGGCUUGGCAAGUGGAUGGUGAAAUCCCUCGGCUUAACCGAGGAACUGCCGUCCAAACUGCUUUGCUUGAGACCGGGAGAGGUGAGUGGAAUUCCCAGUGUAGCGGUGAAAUGCGUAGAUAUUGGGAGGAACACCAGUGGCGAAGGCGGCUCACUGGACCGGUACUGACGCUGAGACGCGAAAGCGUGGGGAGCGAACAGG
rnacentral:rRNA from 1 species